rnacentral:sRNA from 1 species
GGCGGGGUGCUGCUCAGUCCGUUUCUUCUUUAUGUAGUGCUGGCGUUGCUGCUUACCGGGCUGCUGCGCUUCAUCCUGCGCCUGACCCCGUUGCGGCGCUGGAUCUGGCACGAGGCGCUGUUCGACUGUGCCUUG